rnacentral:lncRNA from 1 species
UUCAAUCUCCAUGGCUUCCUCUUUGUUCUUUCCUUGGUUUUAGAACGGACGAUGGGGUUUAGAUUCCCUCAUACAAUACUCAAAUCGUUAAGACAAGAUUAGGAGAGUAUCGAACGUAAGUUUCCUUUAUUUUCAGAUGCACUUUGAAGGGUCCGUCAGCGAGGAUUCUGAUCAAAUUUUAGCAGGGGUUUUGAAUAUGUUUUGAUGACAGCCCUUAAAGGUGCAACUUUCCAAAAACUUAUAAUUGGAUGAUGAAGAAUGAUAAGUGUCAAAAGCUCUAUCAGGUACCACUAUUGCAGAAUUUGCAUGCAUCCUAUUCAAGCGUUUGUUACUCUAUGUCAGGAUUAAUCGGAGACUAUUGAAGAGCAGCACGUAGUUAUCAGGAUAACAAGACUCAAGCCAAAUCGACCAUUUAUAUGCUCUAUUAACCAAAAAGAUUUACAAGCAUCAACCAGCUGAUGGAUAAUCACUGUAGACUAAUAGGUUUUGUCGUCAUUUUUACCACAUAAUGAUGAGGUAUUGAUUUAUAUGGUUUGAUGUAUGUACAUGUCAAGUUUGUGGUGUUCAUACAACAUAUCAAAACGAUUUGUUGAAGUUUUCUAAAAAAAUGAGAGUAUGAGUUCAUUUUUAUAUUUUAAUCUCCAAUACCUACAAAAGAUGU